rfam:Ruminococcus sp. CAG:579 genomic scaffold, scf218
GUCUCAGUAGCUCAGCUGGAUAGAGCGUGCGCCUCCUAAGCGUAAGGUCGGGGGUUCAAAUCCCUUCUGGGACG